UAGUCAGCUGGGCCUCGAGGAUGGACUC
rnacentral:piRNA from 1 species